UUUUAUUUUCCCCCUGUAGACUUUCAGAUCACAAUGGAAAGCUCAUCAGAUGGAAUUAUUCAACCACUCUGUCUUGCAAAUCUGAAAACACAUCUGCACAGUUUUUUCACUAGUGAGAGGGCACACUGGUUUUAAAAUCUGUCUGCUAUCCUCAAAAAUCCAAACUUCAUUUCUGUGGAAACAGAACUUUACAGCGUGCAGAUAUACUAUUUGGAUAAAGUCCUGCUCAGCUGGGAAAUGUUGGACUAAAAAUUGAAUACACUCUUCUGAUAAUAAAGAUUCACUUCUGCUCAUCACCCACCUUAGAUUUCUGGAACAGUCUGUUUUCAGCCAAGGUGAAAAAAGAGACCAGAUGUAACUUCUUCCCUGAAACAUUGUUAAAAACUGGACAAAAAAAUAUAAAACAUUUAAUAACAGCUUUCAAGACUUUAGAGAUGAGGCAUCUUUGAGAAAUGGCAAACAAAGAAGGUAAGCUCUACAACUGCUCUGUCUUCCUGCAUACAGAUGGUUUCCAGGCUGUGGCACAGGGUGUAAGAACCGAAGUAGAGAUUGACAUCCUCUUCUUGAAGAGACUGAGCUAGGCACAUGGGAGGCAGAGGAGGCUCGAGUUUGCAGAACGGAAGAGAGUGGCAUAGAGAGGGAACUCAAACGAUCUGCAGAGGGUCAGCAUCAAGUUUUCAGCCAAGUACUAAUGAGUACAGGCAUGUGAGGAAACUAUCUGCCCUCCAGAAAAUAAAC